UGAGCAGGCAGCUUAAGUGUCACCGCUAUAACCGAGCCCAGUGCAGCACCCGUCGCCAUGGUGUGAAGAGGGGGGCCCAGGAGAUGACAUCAACGGAGGAGAUUCGUUCGGCUUUCAAGUUGGGGUUGGAAAGGUGUAACAGGACUUCUUCCAACCCAGUGUAAAGUAGAAAUUUUAUAUGAAUGAGAGCCUUGUAUUGAGAUGAGAAAAUGAACAAGAUUGAAUAUUCUGCUCCUCACCUGUUGGCUCAUCUUCUGCUUCUGAUCCACCAAGAGUUCCAGUUGCUUUUCCAUGUGCAGUUGUCUUCCUGCCCCCAUACUCAUGUUUUUGAUUUUUCUUACCUAAAUGUAAAACUUUACAUCUAUCUCAGAUGAAAUUCAUCUUGCUGAAUUUUGUACAAUCUUUCACCUUGUCAACAUAGGAUACUGUCCUCUAGUGUGACUGUAAUCCCUCCAUCUUGUGUCAUCUGCAAAUUUGUCAAUCAUAUUUUCAAACUUCUCAUUCAAAUCAUAUAUAAAUAUGUUAAGCAUUUCAGGCCCUAGAAUGGAUCCCUGUGAUAUAUCAUCCAAUAGUUCUUGCAUUAAUGUAUGUAUACUUGGGGAAUACAGUUGUUCAAUCAGCUCUGUAUUCAUCUAAUAUUAGCAUUGUCCAGCCCACAAUUUUAAUCUUUUCUACUAAAAUCUCAUGGAAGACAUUGAAUGCUUUGCUAAAGUUCAGACAUGCCAUAUCUACUGUAUUCCUAUAGUCAGCUAAACUGGUCACUUAUCACAAAAGAUAUUUCUGUGGGUUUUUGAUGAUUUAUCCUCGAUAAAUACAUUCUGGCUCCCACCAAGUAAUGCAUUAUUUUCUAAC